CCUACGGGUGGCAGCAGUGAGGAAUAUUGGUCAAUGGACGAGAGUCUGAACCAGCCAAGUAGCGUGAAGGAUGACUGCCCUAUGGGUUGUAAACUUCUUUUAUAUGGGAAUAAAACAGGGUAUGCAUACCCUCUUGUAUGUACCAUAUGAAUAAGGAUCGGCUAACUCCGUGCCAGCAGCCGCGGUAAUACGGAGGAUUCGAGCGUUAUCCGGAUUUAUUGGGUUUAAAGGGAGCGUAGGUGGUUUGUUAAGUCAGUUGUGAAAGUUUGCGGCUCAACCGUGAAAUUGCAGUUGAAACUGGCAGUCUUGAGUUCAGUAGAGGUAGGCGGAAUUCGUGGUGUAGCGGUGAAAUGCAUAGAGAUCACGAAGAACUCCGAUUGCGAAGGCAGCUCACCAAACUGCGACUGACACUGAUGCACGAAAGUGUGGGUAGCAAACAGGAUUAGAUACCCUGGUAGUC
rnacentral:rRNA from 1 species